GCCAGUUUAGCUGCGCGUGUCCGCUGUGGAAAGUGCUGCUCCCUCGAUAAAGACACGCGUUCGCAACUUGGACGUUCUCUGGUCUUUGGCUACUGCUCAUCGCUGGGAGUCACAGAGAUGACGAAUUGGCUUCUUCCAAUUAGCCACCUCAACUAGCAAGGAAAACAAGUGUCACUUGGCAGCCCUGUUACAGGGACUGGACUCAAGUCUCGAGGCUCCGCUCUGCUUCCACAUGCUGUACAUCUCACUCAAAGGCGGAUCUGCCCAAUUUACUCCAUCCCAGGAACGGCUCCUAGGGACAAAUGUCACAAAAACAGAUAGAGUGCUACAUGGUAAACAAACACGGUCACAUUUUUUGGUCCAAAUUGCACAGAUGUGAAAGCAGAGACAAAGGUGUGCCAAUGCUUCAUUUACACCAAGGCAGGUAGUGUCUUAAUACUGGAGCAACUCAUCAUUUUCCGCACUGUUAGAGGCACAAUGAGAACACAGUAUUUACUCCUUCCCGUCCUGGGUGUGUCCCCUCCCCCUCCAGCCUUA